AGAGUUUGAUCAUGGCUCAGGAUGAACGCUGGCGGCGUGCUUAAUACAUGCAAGUCGAACGAACCUUCGGGUUAGUGGCGGACGGGUGAGUAACGCGUGAGAAUCUGCCCUCAGGAGGGGGACAACAGCUGGAAACGGCUGCUAAUACCCCAUAUGCCGAAAGGUGAAACGAUUUUUCGCCUGAGGAUGAGCUCGCGUCUGAUUAGCUGGUUGGUGGGGUAACGGCCUACCAAGGCUUCGAUCAGUAGCUGGUCUGAGAGGACGAUCAGCCACACUGGGACUGAGACACGGCCCAGACUCCUACGGGAGGCAGCAGUAGGGAAUUUUCCGCAAUGGGCGAAAGCCUGACGGAGCAACGCCGCGUGAGGGACUAAGGCCUUUGGGCUGUAAACCUCUUUUCUCAAGGAAGAAGAUCUGACGGUACUUGAGGAGUAAGCCACGGCUAAUUCCGUGCCAGCAGCCGCGGUAAUACGGGAGUGGCAAGCGUUAUCCGGAAUUAUUGGGCGUAAAGCGUCCGCAAGGCGGCCCAGAAAGUCUGUUGUUAAAGCGUGUAGCUCAACUCCAUCUCUGCACUGCAACUGCUAGGCUUGAUUGUGCCUGGGGUAUGAGGGAAUUACCGGUGUAUCGGCGAAAUGCCUUAAUAUCGGGGAGGAACAC
rnacentral:rRNA from 1 species